AACUGAAAAGCGAUGCCCCUGUCCAGCAACCAUCACUGCCAUUAAAUCAUCAUUCAGGUUAUGCCUUUCCGGUGACGUCUUCCAUUCCCAUCCUGAAGAGCAGCACCAGCAAGAUGAUUAUGAGCAGGACAUGGGAGUGCACGCCUGUAAUCCCAGCCCUCUGGAGGCUGAGGCAGGAUGAUUGCCUUGAAUUUAAGACCAAC
rnacentral:lncRNA from 1 species